AUGAAGUACUAUAAUGUUACCUUAUCUUAUUUGGAAAUGAUCAGUGCGAAAUUGUCACAACUGAAGAGAAAUAAAAUUUAAACAACCUCUCCUAGAAGCCGAACGCUUUGUUUAUCGGGUAAAACUGGAGUGGAAGUCAAUAAACGAGUAAUUACCGUACCUUAUUAUUUCCUGUUCCAUUUUCCAAUUAAUUUGGGUAGGACUUGGAGGCAAAUCAGAAAAUGAAUAAUAAAUCAGCUGUCGAAUUUAUCAAUUCAGUGGUGAGAAAUCUACAAGUGUUGUGUCACAGUAAUGUAGAUUUCAGUGAAGAUGUUGAAGUUAUUGGACAUAUUUAUCUCAGUGUUGAUAAAUCUAAAAAGUUUAAUUAUAUUCUCAAUGAAAAAGUGUGUAAGAGUGACAAUUCAUCAACAGUCUUUGUUAGUAACAGUUUCCAUGCAGAUCAGAAUGAAAAAACAGAUUCUGAUUCAGCUAAACAAAGUAAUAAAGCAAAACCUAGCCCUAGUACGGGCCCUUCCACAGAUGAAAGAUUGCGUUUUCCAAUUCCCCCCAAACAAAAUAUUCCAUCAAAACGCUUACCCACAAGUGAAAUUAGACAGACUCCAUUGAUAGGUGACAAAAAUAUAUUUCAAGACAACCGGUUUAAACUAAGUGAUAAAGCACGACAUUUACAGAGAGACAAUUCACACAAUAAAUAUGAUGAACCAUUCAAAAAGUUUAGGAAAAUUGAGGAAAAUUCUUCAGAAACAUUUGAUGUUGUCAAGCAAGAAUCCUUCACAGCAGAACCAGUGUUUUUACAACCAUCGACUUCAACAAAAGAUUUAAGUGAAUUUAGUAGACAAAGUUUUCAUACAGAUCAAAGCUCAAUAACUAGUCAAAGUAUAAGAGAAAGCAGUGAUUAUAAUGAGUUUGACAAUUCUCCUAAUCAAAUUGAUUUAACUAAUAUUAAAGAAGAACCAAUCGAUGUGUUUCAUGAGAAUAGUAGAGGCCUGAAUAAUAUCCUGCAUCAAGUUGAAAUGCAGCAAAAUCAGUUUUCAGAAAGUCAUAACACUAGCAUGGAGAAUCUGCAACAGUUAUCAAACAGCGUAACAACUUAUGGGGAUGUAUCUCCAACAACAGCUCAUCAGCAACAACAAAUAUUAUCCCUGCUAUGUCGAAGUCGACCUCAUAAUGUUUUACCAUUGGAGGAUAAAGUUAAUUUAAUAAGACAAUCUGAAAAACCUGAAAAACCAACCCAACAUGAGCUGGCCAAAAUGUUUGGUAUUAGUCAGAAAUCUGUGUGUAAUAUUUUAAAAAUGAAAAUGAAAUAUGUUCAAGAAUGGAAUUCUAAGUUUAACAAUGGAUCCAAUAUAGGAAUGUGAAAUAAUCAAUAUUAGUUUCCUAUUAACAACUAUUCUUGUGUUCACAAUCACAUACAUUUUUUUAAUGCAUUGUUUUUACGGGCAUAUAAUAUUGUUCCUUAAAUGACAUAAUAUUAUGUUCACAAUUGCCAAAUAAGUAGGCCUGCAUUAAAUUUUGAAACCAUUCUCAGAAUUUUCUGAGAUAUUAAGCUUUGACUGUCAAGUGCCCUUUUGAAAGAAAUGUCUUGAAUUUCAUGCUGGCAAAUUAUAAUCAUAUUUAAAUUUCAGUUGAUUUGUGAAAUAAUCUUACAAUUUACACAAAACAUUUUAAUGUUGUAUCCCAAAUGGAUUAUUUGUAAUACACUGCUAAUACCAUGAACUAUUUCUCAAGGUGAAAACAACUGGGAAGUUUGGUAGAUUCAGUAUAUACUAGAAUGUGACAAUUUUGAUUGUAAUGAAAAAAUUGUGAAUCUGACAGCUAAUUUUAACUGUCUGUACAUAUACAACCAUAUCUGAAUUUGUGUGUCAUUUAAAGUCCUUUCCAGACAACUCUGAAAAAAUGAAGGAUACCUGACAAAUAUCUGAAACUAUUAAAUUUGUACCUUGUAGUUUGAACUAUAUGCUGACAUGUAUUAAAGAAAUAAAACAUAGGAAAAAGACAUAUAUUUGAGACUUGUGUGUGAAAUUAUGCCAUUUAUUAAUUUUAUCUGAAUGAGAGAAGGGUCCUGGUUUCUAAUUUCACAUUGUUGCUUACAAAAAUGAUAUUAUGUCUCAUUUCGUUACCUUUGAAUUGUUAUUGCACGAUUAUUGGAAACAUGAUUGGAUAGAUGUAUGCAUCUGUAUAUCGUUAUAAAGAUUUCCGCACAUAAUAUAUCUGUUACUUGUCCUGUCUAUGGCUUGCUCUGUGAUUUAUAUUUCGUUAGACCUGGUCUGAAGAUACAGAACAUAUUUGAUUUCCUUUAAUUUCUGUCAGGCUGGUUAAUCCCUGUGCUGUUUUCUCUCCAAUAUUGAUACAUCUACAUGUACAUGUAGGUUCUUGUGUAAAUAUUAAUAUAUAUAGAAAAUAAAUUUUUAGCAAUGUGAACUUUUUAAAUAAAGGAAAUGUGGCUUUAUAGCUAUUCUAAAAGGAUUAAAUAUACCCCACCUCAGGAACAACACUCAUCACUAGAUUAUUUAUGUUUCACUUGCUAGUUGCAUUUGUCUUUUAUAUAUCAUAAUAUCUAAAUGAACUUAAUAGAAGUAGGCUGUUGUGUUAAAGAUGCUGACCUACUUAAAUUAAGUAUGUGUGAAAGAAAAAAACAUGCAUAACUAGGUGAUGGAUUUUGGAUCCAAAUAGGACAAACUCUUCUGCUUCAAUUCAUACAUUGUUUACUCGAAGUCGGCCUCAUAUUGUUUUACCAUUGGAAGAAAAGAUUAGAUUGAUUAGACAAUCUGAGAUAGUUAUGGGUAGUAAUAAACCUACCCAAAAUGAACUGGGCAAAAUGUUUGGUAUUAGUCAGCGAAGUGUUUGUAAUAUAUUAAAACUAAAAGAUAAAUAUUUAGCAGAAUGGUCGUCAUUAGAUUUGUCUUCAUCGCUUGACAAAGACAAAUCUUGUAAUACACAAGAACUAGAGGGAAAUUAUAAAAAGUAGUAUUUUGUUUACAUCAACAGUAUUUACAUUUUAAAAACAUUAGAAACUGUCUUCAGUAAUUACAUGUACAAGGUAUUAAAUAUUCUUGAACUAAGAUGGUUCUGUAUAAUUUUAUUUUCUGAAUUAUCAAUACAGUAUACAUAUUUUUGUACUUUUUGUUGAUUUCAAUUGAAUUGUAUUUUCUGGAGGAAGAAUGUGGUAUUGUGCCAUAAUGUUAUCUGUUUUGAACUGUUAUUGUAUUUAAGUGAUAGUAUAGUGUCGUAUUUUGGAAAUAUUGGUGAAAUCUUAUCUAUACCAACUCCCAUUGUAUAAUUGUAAAUAAAUGACUUAAGCCAUC